UUAAGCGACUAAGCGUACACGGUGGAUGCCCUGGCAGUCAGAGGCGAUGAAGGACGUGCUAAUCUGCGAUAAGCGUCGGUAAGGUGAUAUGAACCGUUAUAACCGGCGAUUUCCGAAUGGGGAAACCCAGUGUGAUUCGUCACACUAUCAUUAACUGAAUCCAUAGGUUAAUGAGGCGAACCGGGGGAACUGAAACAUCUAAGUACCCCGAGGAAAAGAAAUCAACCGAGAUUCCCCCAGUAGCGGCGAGCGAACGGGGAGCAGCCCAGAGCCUGAAUCAGUGUGUGUGUUAGUGGAAGCGUCUGGAAAGGCGCGCGAUACAGGGUGACAGCCCCGUACACAAAAAUGCACAUAUUGUGAGCUCGAUGAGUAGGGCGGGACACGUGGUAUCCUGUCUGAAUAUGGGGGGACCAUCCUCCAAGGCUAAAUACUCCUGACUGACCGAUAGUGAACCAGUACCGUGAGGGAAAGGCGAAAAGAACCCCGGCGAGGGGAGUGAAAAAGAACCUGAAACCGUGUACGUACAAGCAGUGGGAGCCUCUUUAUGGGGUGACUGCGUACCUUUUGUAUAAUGGGUCAGCGACUUAUAUUCUGUAGCAAGGUUAACCGAAUAGGGGAGCCGAAGGGAAACCGAGUCUUAACUGGGCGUUAAGUUGCAGGGUAUAGACCCGAAACCCGGUGAUCUAGCCAUGGGCAGGUUGAAGGUUGGGUAACACUAACUGGAGGACCGAACCGACUAAUGUUGAAAAAUUAGCGGAUGACUUGUGGCUGGGGGUGAAAGGCCAAUCAAACCGGGAGAUAGCUGGUUCUCCCCGAAAGCUAUUUAGGUAGCGCCUCGUGAAUUCAUCUCCGGGGGUAGAGCACUGUUUCGGCAAGGGGGUCAUCCCGACUUACCAACCCGAUGCAAACUGCGAAUACCGGAGAAUGUUAUCACGGGAGACACACGGCGGGUGCUAACGUCCGUCGUGAAGAGGGAAACAACCCAGACCGCCAGCUAAGGUCCCAAAGUCAUGGUUAAGUGGGAAACGAUGUGGGAAGGCCCAGACAGCCAGGAUGUUGGCUUAGAAGCAGCCAUCAUUUAAAGAAAGCGUAAUAGCUCACUGGUCGAGUCGGCCUGCGCGGAAGAUGUAACGGGGCUAAACCAUGCACCGAAGCUGCGGCAGCGACACUAUGUGUUGUUGGGUAGGGGAGCGUUCUGUAAGCCUGUGAAGGUGUGCUGUGAGGCAUGCUGGAGGUAUCAGAAGUGCGAAUGCUGACAUAAGUAACGAUAAAGCGGGUGAAAAGCCCGCUCGCCGGAAGACCAAGGGUUCCUGUCCAACGUUAAUCGGGGCAGGGUGAGUCGACCCCUAAGGCGAGGCCGAAAGGCGUAGUCGAUGGGAAACAGGUUAAUAUUCCUGUACUUGGUGUUACUGCGAAGGGGGGACGGAGAAGGCUAUGUUGGCCGGGCGACGGUUGUCCCGGUUUAAGCGUGUAGGCUGGUUUUCCAGGCAAAUCCGGAAAAUCAAGGCUGAGGCGUGAUGACGAGGCACUACGGUGCUGAAGCAACAAAUGCCCUGCUUCCAGGAAAAGCCUCUAAGCAUCAGGUAACAUCAAAUCGUACCCCAAACCGACACAGGUGGUCAGGUAGAGAAUACCAAGGCGCUUGAGAGAACUCGGGUGAAGGAACUAGGCAAAAUGGUGCCGUAACUUCGGGAGAAGGCACGCUGAUAUGUAGGUGAAGCGACUUGCUCGUGGAGCUGAAAUCAGUCGAAGAUACCAGCUGGCUGCAACUGUUUAUUAAAAACACAGCACUGUGCAAACACGAAAGUGGACGUAUACGGUGUGACGCCUGCCCGGUGCCGGAAGGUUAAUUGAUGGGGUUAGCGGUAACGCGAAGCUCUUGAUCGAAGCCCCGGUAAACGGCGGCCGUAACUAUAACGGUCCUAAGGUAGCGAAAUUCCUUGUCGGGUAAGUUCCGACCUGCACGAAUGGCGUAAUGAUGGCCAGGCUGUCUCCACCCGAGACUCAGUGAAAUUGAACUCGCUGUGAAGAUGCAGUGUACCCGCGGCAAGACGGAAAGACCCCGUGAACCUUUACUAUAGCUUGACACUGAACAUUGAGCCUUGAUGUGUAGGAUAGGUGGGAGGCUUUGAAGUGUGGACGCCAGUCUGCAUGGAGCCGACCUUGAAAUACCACCCUUUAAUGUUUGAUGUUCUAACGUUGGCCCGUAAUCCGGGUUGCGGACAGUGUCUGGUGGGUAGUUUGACUGGGGCGGUCUCCUCCUAAAGAGUAACGGAGGAGCACGAAGGUUGGCUAAUCCUGGUCGGACAUCAGGAGGUUAGUGCAAUGGCAUAAGCCAGCUUGACUGCGAGCGUGACGGCGCGAGCAGGUGCGAAAGCAGGUCAUAGUGAUCCGGUGGUUCUGAAUGGAAGGGCCAUCGCUCAACGGAUAAAAGGUACUCCGGGGAUAACAGGCUGAUACCGCCCAAGAGUUCAUAUCGACGGCGGUGUUUGGCACCUCGAUGUCGGCUCAUCACAUCCUGGGGCUGAAGUAGGUCCCAAGGGUAUGGCUGUUCGCCAUUUAAAGUGGUACGCGAGCUGGGUUUAGAACGUCGUGAGACAGUUCGGUCCCUAUCUGCCGUGGGCGCUGGAGAACUGAGGGGGGCUGCUCCUAGUACGAGAGGACCGGAGUGGACGCAUCACUGGUGUUCGGGUUGUCAUGCCAAUGGCACUGCCCGGUAGCUAAAUGCGGAAGAGAUAAGUGCUGAAAGCAUCUAAGCACGAAACUUGCCCCGAGAUGAGUUCUCCCUGACCCUUUAAGGGUCCUGAAGGAACGUUGAAGACGACGACGUUGAUAGGCCGGGUGUGUAAGCGCAGCGAUGCGUUGAGCUAACCGGUACUAAUGAACCGUGAGGCUUAACCUU
rnacentral:rRNA from 1 species